rnacentral:rRNA from 1 species
GGCGUACGGGUGCGGAACACGUGUGCACUGCUUUAUCUGGGGGAUAGCCUUUCGAAAGGAAGAUUAAUACCCCAUAAUAUGUUGAAUGGCAUCAUUCGACAUUGAAAACUCCGGUGGAUAGAGAUGGGCACGCGCAAGAUUAGAUAGUUGGUGAGGUAACGGUCACCAAGUCUACGAUCUUUAGGGGGCCUGAGAGGGUGAUCCCCCAACUGGUACUGAGACACGGACCAGACUCCUACGGGAGGCAGCAGUGAGGGAUAUUGGACAAUGGGUGAGAGCCUGAUCCAGCCAUCCCGCGUGAAGGACGACUGCCCUAUGGGUUGUAAACUUCUUUUGUAUAGGGAUAAACCUACCCUCGUGAGGGUAGCUGAAGGUACUAUACGAAUAAGCACCGGUUAACUCCGUGCCAGCAGCCGCGGUAAUACGGAGGGUGCAAGCGUUAUCCGGAUUAUGGGGUUAAGGGUCCGUAGGCGGAUCUGUAAGUCAGUGGUGAAACUCACAGUUUAACUGUGAAAUGCAUUGAUACUGCAGGGUCUUGAGUGGUGGAAGUAUUGGGNAUUAGGUUAAGUGGUAACGGUUAAAUGCAUUAAGCAUUUUUCA